rnacentral:lncRNA from 1 species
ACUCUGAACCUUCUGACCCUUGCCUCAGUGCUCUGGCUGGGCACAUUCAGCUUCUCAACUUCAUUGACUCCAGGCCAUAUUUAAAUCCAAGCUUCUAGCAGCUAGGCAGGCAGUACAUUAAGAUUCUUCUUGAGUCCUAGCCAUUAUUUGUUUCCCAAGUAAUAGGACUGCUCUCAUGUCAAUGAACUCCUUUCCUAUCCAGAUUUAAAUUCUCAUCUCCCUAGUCCAACACCCUCAAAAUCCAUCUCCAGCAUGCUCUCCCAGGUCCUGCUCAUGUCACACUAGGGAUGUCAGGAAGAAGUGUAGUGAGCCAUAAAAGGGCACUCUUUUCCUUUCGGUAUCAGAAAGAACCAUGAAGUUAUCAUGGAGCUGAUCUCUUGAUUCAAGGUCAUAGUCAUGCUGAGGAAGAUUCCCGUUUUGUCUGACAUGGUUUUCAAUAUCAUAAACGUUUGUACUGCAGUCACUGCUGUUUAACAUCAGUGACAGGUUACAUUUCCAUUAUGGUGUAAUAGCAUAUCCAGGUCAUAUCUGAAGAUAAAUGAUGGACACAAUUCUGAAGCAUAGAACAAGCUGCACAUUCAAAACUUGAGAACCACACUCUUCCUACACACCAGCCAGAUGGAUUGAGCAACCCUGGUCUGGUUGAUUAUUGCUCUCAAACAUUUUUUAAAGCCAGGAAAUCUUUUAUUCAAAGGAAAUCUAAGUGGAAGAAUGCUACAAAGAUAUGCAAUGGUGGGACGCUCUGCUUUUCAGGCCUAAUGACAGGGAAACCUUAGUCCUUCUGAGAUGCCUUUGUCACCCUCCACACCUUCACCCUGGAUUCUGCCCUCUUGAGUAAAGCAUAGUUGGAAAACCCCUGAUCUAGAGUGUCUUCAGAGUCUCGAAGGUAUAUGGACACAAUAAAUGUCCAAUGUUUCAUAAUUCAGACCUGCAUUCAAGUUUAUGAGAAGCAGAAUAACAAACUUUGCCAUGACUAUGGACAUGGUUUCAUGGUGCCGUCGUGAACUUGUCUGGGCCAGUGGUUGCCAAACUGGUCCAGUCAUCACAAUCAUUAGAGAAUGUUCUUUGAAAAAUGAAAAUCCUGUGGAAUCAGAAUUUCCAAGGGAAGUAAGCCGGCAGUCUACUUAUUUAAGAGUUCCCCAGGUGAAUUGAAAGAGUUGCAGGAAAUUCAGCUACAACCUUCAAAAGAGCAAUACCAUCUUUCUCAAGAGAUGUUUUUUGACUUGAGUUAUUCAAAUAA